rnacentral:misc_RNA from 1 species
GAUGAAGAACGUAGCGAAAUGCGAUAAGUAAUGUGAAUUGCAGAAUUCAGUGAAUCAUCGAAUAUUUGAACGCACAUUGCGCCCCCUGGUAUUCCGGGGGGCAUGCCUGUUCGAGCGUCAUUACAACCCUCAAGCUCUGCUUGGUAUUGGGCCCCGCCAGUUCUGGCGGGCCCUAAAGUCAGUGGCGGUGCCUUCCGGCUCCGAGCGUAGUAAUUCUUCUCGCUCUGGAGACCCGGUUGUGUGCUUGCCAACAACCCCCAAUUUUUUAAGGUUGACCUCGGAUCAGGUAGGGAUACCCGCUGAACUUAAGCAUAUCAAUAAGCGGAGGA